GCGGGGUUAGCUCAGUUGGUUAGAGCGUGGUGCUAAUAACACCAAGGUCACAGGUUCAAUCCCUGCUUACUGCA
rnacentral:tRNA from 1 species